rnacentral:rRNA from 1 species
AUUGAACGCUGGCGGCAGGCCUAACACAUGCAAGUCGAACGAGUGGCGGACGGGUGAGUAAUGUCUGGGAAACUGCCUGAUGGAGGGGGAUAACUACUGGAAACGGUAGCUAAUACCGCAUACCAUCAGAUGUGCCCAGCUGGGAUUAGCUAGUUGGUGGGGUAACGGGUCACCAAGGCGACGAUCCCUAGCUGGUCUGAGAGGAUGACCAGCCACACUGGAACUGAGAAACGGUCCGGACGCCGACGGGAGGCAGCAGUGGGGAAUAUUGCACAAUGGGCGGAAGCCUGAUGCAGCCAUGGCGCGUGUAAGAAGAAGGCCUUCGGGUUGUAAAGUACUUUCAGCGGGGAGGCGUUACCCGCAGAAGAAGCACCGGCUAACUCCGUGCCAGCCGCCGCGGUAAUAC